AUGGGAGUUUGCCCAACCAAUCCACAUGUGUUUUGUGGAUUUGGAGAAGGCAUUCGACUGUGUCCCUCGCGGCAUCUUGUGGAGGGUGCUUCGGGAAUAUGGGGUCCUGGGUCUUUGCUAAGGGCUGUCAGGUCCCUGUACAACCAAAGCAGGAGCUUGGUCCGCAUUGCCGGCAGGAAGUCAGACUUGUUCCCAUUGCAUGUUGGACUCCGGCAGGGCUGCCCUUUGUCACCGGUUCUGUUUGUAAUUUCUAUGGACAGAAUUUCUAGGCGCAGCCAGGGGCCGGAGGGUGUCAGGUUUGGGGACCACACAAUUUCGUCUCUGCUCUUUGCAGAUGAUGUUGUCGUGUUGGCCCCUUCUAACCAGGACCUUCAGCAUGCGCUGGGAUGGUUUGCAGGCGAGUGUGAAGCGGUGGGGAUGAAAAUCAGUACCUCCAAAUCCGAGGCCAUGGUCCUCAGUCGGAAAAGGGUGGCUUGCCCACUUCAGGUUGGUGGAGAGUGCCUGCCUCAAGUGGAGGAGUUUAAGUAUCUAGGGGUCUUGUUCACGAGUGAGGGAAGGAUGGAACGGGAGAUUGACAGACGGAUUGGUGCAGCUUCUGCAGUAAUGCAGUCGAUGUAUCGGUCUGUCGUGGUGAAGAAAGAGCUGAGCCGCAAGGUGAAGCUCUCGAUUUACCAGUCAAUCUACGUUCCUACUCUCACUUAUGGUCAUGAGCUUUGGGUCAUGACCGAAAGGACAAGAUCCCAGAUACAGACGGCCGAAAUGAGCUUUCUCUGCAGGGUGGCCGGGCGAUCCCUUAGAAAUAGGGUGAGAAACUCGGUCACCCGGGAGGAGCUCAGAGUAGAGCCGCUGCUCCUCCACUUUGAGAGGGGUCAGCUGAGGUGGCUUGGGCAUCUGUUUCGGAUGCCUCCGGAACGCCUUCCUGGGAAGGUGUUCCGGUCCCGUCCCACUGGGAGGAGACCCCGGGGAAGACCUAGGACACGCUGGAGGGACUAUGUCUCCCGGCUGGCUUGGGAACGCCUCUGUGUCCCCCGGAAGAGCUAG
rnacentral:lncRNA from 1 species